UAACGCGAAGAACCUUACCUGGGUUUGACAUACACCGGAAAACCGUAGAGAUACGGUCCCCCUUGUGGUCGGUGUACAGGUGGUGCAUGGCUGUCGUCAGCUCGUGUCGUGAGAUGUUGGGUUAAGUCCCGCAACGAGCGCAACCCUUGUCAUUAGUUGCCAUCAUUUAGUUGGGCACUCUAAUGAGACUGCCGGUGACAAGCCGGAGGAAGGUGGGGAUGACGUCAAGUCCUCAUGGCCCUUAUGACCAGGGCUUCACACGUCAUACAAUGGUCGGUACAGAGGGUAGCCAAGCCGCGAGGUGGAGCCAAUCUCACAAAACCGAUCGUAGUCCGGAUUGCACUCUGCAACUCGAGUGCAUGAAGUCGGAAUCGCUAGUAAUCGCAGAUCAGCAACGCUGCGGUGAAUA
rnacentral:rRNA from 1 species